rnacentral:misc_RNA from 1 species
GGAAUUUGUGAUGAAUCUUUUUACCAUUUCAUUUUUGGAGAUUUAUAGGUUCUUUAGUUUUCCCAAAAAGAACUUAGUUUUUUCUUAGUUUUUUCUUUCUCUUUCUUUCAAUGCAAAUAUAUGAGAUGUGCUUUCUGAAACUGCAUUUUCUGCUUGUAAGUUAUAUCUAUUCUUCACCAAUAAUUACAUUUUUCUUCAUUCAACAUAAGACUUGUGCUGCUUUGCUUGAAGUUUGACUUUGCAGUGAAUUUUUUUUUUUUUUGAAUUGUUG